rnacentral:miRNA from 8 species
CCUGCGCAUUACUCCUUAAUG